CCACGCGAGACGGCCAGUGCUUCGCCGACCACGCGAGGGGAAACACGCACGCCUUCGCCUCCCCUCACUUUCGCGGCCGACGCACACGCUGUGUUUCGUAUUGAUUAGAAAGGGAUUUAUUCGCUCGUACCCAAAGCAAGGGAGAACUGAAUUCCAUACGGCAUUGACGUCGAAGUCAUAUGAAUUAUUCCGUAAGUUUAUGAUUUUGGAAACAGAGCGAGAGAGGAAUUAACUAAAAGCGGAUAGAGAAAUAAUUGUAGUGUUCAAAUAAAACGAAAAUUAAGAUCGAUUGAGAAAGUUUGCAAAAUUCUAUAUCGAGGAAAAAACAAAAUCGAAAUAAAAAGAGAGGGACGAGAAAAUAAAAAAUCAGCCUUUGCUGUGAUUCGAAUUUCCAUUUUAUCUUUAAAAGCAAAUAUCAAAAUUCUUUAAGAAAAAAAAGGAAGAAGAAGAAGAAAAAAAAGAUUGGAGUCAAAUCAAACAAAAUCCAAAAAAAAAUAAUUAAAA